rnacentral:rRNA from 1 species
AAAGGAAUUGACGGGGACCCGCACAAGCGGUGGAGCAUGUGGUUUAAUUCGAAGAUACACGAAGAACCUUACCUGGCCUUGAUAUCCUAAGAAUCCUGUAGAGAUACGGGAGUGCUAGUUUACUAGAACUUAGAGACAGGUGCUGCACGGCUGUCGUCAGCUCGUGUCGUGAGAUGUUGGGUUAAGUCCCGCAACGAGCGCAACCCUCGUGAUUAGUUGCUAACAGUUCGGCUGAGCACUCUAAUCAGACUGCCUUCGUAAGGAGGAGGAAGGUGAGGACGACGUCAAGUCAUCAUGGCCCUUAUGGCCAGGGCUACACACGUGCUACAAUGGCUAGGACAAAGAGACGCGAUACUGUGAAGUGGAGCAAAUCUUAAAACCUAGUCUCAGUUCGGAUUGAAGUCUGCAACUCGACUUCAUGAAGCUGGAAUCGCUAGUAAUCGUAGAUCAGAUAUGCUACGGUGAAUACGUUCCCGGGUCUUGUACACACCGCCCGU